UACAGAGGUCUCGAGCGUUAGGCGGAAUCACUGGGCUUAAAGCGUGUGUAGGCGGACUGGUAAGUACCUUAUGAAAUCCCACGGCUCAACCGUGGAACUGCUUGGUAUACUGCUUGUCUUGUGCAACCUAGGGGCGAGCGGAACAGAUGGUGGAGCGGUGAAAUGCGUAGAUAUAGGAAGGAACACCAGUGGCGAAGGCGACCACCUGGACUGAUACUGACACUGAGGUGCGAAAGCGUGGGGAGCAAACAGG
rnacentral:rRNA from 1 species